CUGCUGUGGAACCAGGUGGGACAGAAACUUGGUCUCCACAGAGGUAACCAGCUGCAUGAAAGGUUAGCACUGGUUGAAAUUUAUUUCAGCAUAUAUAGAAAUGCAAGGAAACAGGAGAUAAGAAAGCAAGAAACCCAAAAUUCUUGCCAAGGAAUUAGGAAGUGAGAAGACUCUACCACCACUGUUCACAUGGCCAAAGGAGUUCUCAAGAGGAAUUUUGUUAGGUUCUGACUGCUUCCAUGCUAUGCUCACUUUCUGCUAGGCACUACAUAGCUCCUCCUAUCCCUGAUGCCUAGCUCAGGAAAUGAAAAGAAGUAG
rnacentral:lncRNA from 1 species